rnacentral:rRNA from 1 species
AGAGUUUGAUCCUGGCUCAGAUUGAACGCUGGCGGCAGGCCUAACACAUGCAAGUCGAGCGGCAGCGGGAAAGUAGCUUGCUACUUUUGCCGGCGAGCGGCGGACGGGUGAGUAAUGCCUGGGAAAUUGCCCAGUCGAGGGGGAUAACAGUUGGAAACGACUGCUAAUACCGCAUACGCCCUACGGGGGAAAGCAGGGGACCUUCGGGCCUUGCGCGAUUGGAUAUGCCCAGGUGGGAUUAGCUAGUUGGUGAGGUAAUGGCUCACCAAGGCGACGAUCCCUAGCUGGUCUGAGAGGAUGAUCAGCCACACUGGAACUGAGACACGGUCCAGACUCCUACGGGAGG